rnacentral:misc_RNA from 1 species
GAAAUGCGAUAAGUAAUGUGAAUUGCAGAAUUCAGUGAAUCAUCGAAUCUUUGAACGCAUCUUGCGCUCCCUGGUAUUCCAAGGAGCAUGCCUGUUUGAGUAUCAUUAAAUUAUCAACUGUGCCAAUUUGGUCACAGAUUGGAUGUGGGAGAUUUCUUGCAGGCUUUCGAGUCAGCUCUCCUGAAAUGUAUUAGCAGUGCCUUUGUUGGUUCAUUAGGUGUGAUAAUUUAUCUACAUCUUCAAAUGGUGCCUUCAUUUGUAAAGGUCAUAUUGCUUCUAAUUGUCUUUGGACAAAGAAAACAUAUAAUGUGUGACAAACUUGAUCUCAAAUCAGGCAGGACUACCCGCUGAACUUAA